UACGAAGGGGGCUAGCGUUGCUCGGAAUCACUGGGCGUAAAGGGUGCGUAGGCGGGUCUUUAAGUCAGGGGGGAAAUCCUGGAGCUCAACUCCAGAACUGCCUUUGAUACUGAGGAUCUUGAGUCCGGGAGAGGUGAGUGGAACUGCGAGUGUAGAGGUGAAAUUCGUAGAUAUUCGCAAGAACACCAGUGGCGAAGGCGGCUCACUGGCCCGGUACUGACGCUGAGGCACGAAAGCGUGGGUAGCAAACGGG
rnacentral:rRNA from 1 species